rnacentral:rRNA from 1 species
UACGUAGGGUGCAAGCGUUGUCCGGAAUUAUUGGGCGUAAAGAGCUCGUAGGCGGCUUGUCACGUCGACUGUGAAAACCCGGGGCUCAACUCCGGGCCUGCAGUCGAUACGGGCUGGCUUGAGUUCGGUAGGGGAGACUGGAAUUCCUGGUGUAGCGGUGAAAUGCGCAGAUAUCAGGAGGAACACCGGUGGCGAAGGCGGGUCUCUGGGCCGAUACUGACGCUGAGGAGCGAAAGCGUGGGGAGCGAACAGG